rnacentral:rRNA from 1 species
UCGUCCUUACAACACGUGGGAGUAACUCCGGGAAACCGGGGCUAAUACCGGAUAUGAAACCUGCGGGCAUCCGCGGGUUUGGAAAGUUUUUCGGUUGAAGAUGAUCUCGCGGCCUAUCAGCUUGUUGGUGAGGUAAUGGGCUCACCAAGGCGACGACGGGUAGCCGGCCUGAGAGGGCGACCGGCCACACUGGGACUGAAACACGGCCCAGACUCCUACGGGAGGCAGCAGUGGGGAAUAUUGGGCAAUGGAGGAAACUCUGACCCAGCGACGCCGCGUGCGGGAUGAAGGCCUUCGGGUUGUAAACCGCUUUCAGCAGGGAAGAAGCGAAAGUGACGGUACCUGCAGAAGAAGCACCGGCUAACUAUGUG